rnacentral:rRNA from 1 species
GUGGGGAAUAUUGGGCAAUGGGCGAAAGCCUGACCCAGCAACGCCGCGUGAGGGAAGAAGGUUUUCGGAUCGUAAACCUCUGUCCUUAGUGAAGAGAAAGAGACGGUAGCUAAGGAGGAAGCCCCGGCUAACUACGUGCCAGCAGCCGCGGUAAUACGUAGGGGGCGAGCGUUGUCCGGAAUGAUUGGGCGUAAAGGGCGCGUAGGCGGCCUGUUAAGUCCGGAGUGAAAUUCCUGCUUUCAAGGUAGGAAGUGCUUUGGAAACUGGCGGGCUGGAGUGCAGGAGAGGUUAGCGGAAUUCCCGGUGUAGCGGUGAAAUGCGUAGAGAUCGGGAGGAACACCAGUGGCGAAGGCGGCUAACUGGACUGUAACUGACGCUGAGGCGCGAAAGUGUGGGGAGCAAACAGGAUUAGAUACCCCGGUAGUCC